UACGGAGUUACAAAGGACGACAUUAGACGAAUCAUCUGGAAAGAUGAAUCAAAGAAGGUAAUAAUCCUGUAGUCGAAAAUGUUGUCUCUCUUGAGUGGAUCCUGAGUACGACGGAGCACGUGAAAUUCCGUCGGAAUCUGGGAGGACCAUCUCCUAAGGCUAAAUACUCUCUAGUGACCGAUAGUGAACCAGUACCGUGAGGGAAAGGUGAAAAGCACCCCGGAAGGGGAGUGAAAUAGAACCUGAAACCGUGUGCUUACAAGUAGUCAGAGCCCGUUAAUGGGUGAUGGCGUGCCUUUUGUAGAAUGAACCGGCGAGUUACGAUUUGAUGCAAGGUUAAGCAGUAAAUGUGGAGCCGUAGCGAAAGCGAGUCUG
rnacentral:rRNA from 1 species